UUACCGGGCAGAUGGGAAUCGAACCCACAAUGUUCCGCUUACCGGGCAGAUGCCAUGUCCACUAGGCUACCCUGGA